rnacentral:rRNA from 1 species
UACGGGGGGGGCAAGCGUUGUUCGGAAUUACUGGGCGUAAAGGGCGCGUAGGCGGUGUGUCAAGUCAGGCGUGAAAGCCCCGGGCUCAACCUGGGAACCGCGCUUGAGACUGGCACGCUAGAGUUCGGGAGAGGAUGGUGGAAUUCCCAGUGUAGAGGUGAAAUUCGUAGAUAUUGGGAAGAACACCGAUGGCGAAGGCAGCCAUCUGGACCGACACUGACGCUGAGGCGCGAAAGCGUGGGGAGCAAACAGG